AGAAGUAUGUGGAGCCCCAGCUGUUUGCAUUUGGCGUGUUUCAUUCCCUCUGCUAUUCCCUAAUCCCUGACAGCUCUCUCACAGAUGGGUCCAUCACCCUGGACAGCACUAUGUUGUCCGCCUUACAGACUGCCAUGAGCCUCAGGGUGACACAGGACAGGAGGCUGACCAUGGGCUACCAAGCAGCAAGAGGGGUAGCUCCACCACACAGUCAUGCAAUCAUCAGACCAUGCGCACUGGCCAGACCGCCCUGCUCUGCAGCUUGUGCUUGGGCCUCCCUCCCCUGUUGGGUCACACUUCCUGCUCAGGUCUCCUGUCCCGUCUGGCUUUUACACGGCAGUAUGAGCUUCCUGCAGUGAUCCAGACAGUGGGGUCACUGGCCAUUUGCUGCUGCUGACUGCAGACCCACCUCUUCAGGCUUGCUCCCCUAACUGUUAUAACUCGUAAGUCUUGCUUCUUUGUAUAUCAAUUUUACAUAGGUGUGUUAUGCUUUUCUGAGAGCUGAACAUGGGGAAUUGUCUCAGAUUAUGAAUUCAGCAUCUAGCCAGUCCAAAUCAAGCUAGACUCUGCAUUAUCAUUUCUUUCAUCCUACGCAGUCUUUCUCAGAAUGUAUUGUACUGACUUC